GGAAGAAAAGCCUUGGGUUAAUACCCUGGGGUCAUGACGGUACCGUAAGAAUAAGCACCGGCUAACUUCGUGCCAGCAGCCGCGGUAAUACGAAGGGUGCAAGCGUUACUCGGAAUUACUGGGCGUAAAGCGUGCGUAGGUGGUCUGUCAAGUCCGAUGUGAAAGCCCUGGGCUCAACCUGGGAACUGCAUUGGAAACUGGCAGUCUGGAGUGCGGUAGAGGGUAGCGGAAUUCCCGGUGUAGCAGUGAAAUGCGUAGAUAUCGGGAGGAACAUCCGUGGCGAAGGCGGCUACCUGGACCAGCACUGACACUGAGGCACGAAAGCGUGGGGAGCAAACAGGAUUAGAUACCCUGGUAGUCCACGCCCUAAACGAUGCGAACUGGAUGUUGGGGGCACUUUGGCCUUCAGUAUCGAAGCUAACGCGUUAAGUUCGCCGCCUGGGGAGUACGGUCGCAAGACUGAAACUCAAAGGAAUUGACGGGGGCCCGCACAAGCGGUGGAGUAUGUGGUUUAAUUCGAUGCAACGCGCAGAACCUUACCUGGCCUUGACAUCCACGGAACCCUCCAGAGACGGAGGGGUGCCUUCGGGAACCGUGAGACAGGUGCUGCAUGGCUGUCG
rnacentral:rRNA from 1 species